rnacentral:rRNA from 1 species
AUACGGGGGGUGCAAGCGUUAAUCGGAAUUACUGGGCGUAAAGCGCGCGUAGGCGGUUGGACAAGUUGGAUGUGAAAGCCCCGGGCUCAACCUGGGAAUGGCAUCCAAAACUGUCCGACUAGAGUUCGGUAGAGGGGAGUGGAAUUCCACAUGUAGCGGUGAAAUGCGUAGAUAUGUGGAGGAACACCAGUGGCGAAGGCGGCUCCCUGGAUCGAAACUGACGCUGAGGUGCGAAAGCGUGGGUAGCAAACAGGAUUAGAAACCCGAGUAGUCC